rnacentral:rRNA from 1 species
UACGAAGGGUGCAAGCGUUAAUCGGAAUUACUGGGCGUAAAGGGUGCGUAGGCGGUUAGUUAAGUCUGUUGUGAAAGCCCCGGGCUCAACCCGGGAAGUGCACUCGAUACUGCGUGGCUUGAGUACUGGAGAGGUUGGUGGAAUUCUCGGUGUAGAGGUGAAAUUCGUAGAUAUCGAGAGGAACACCGGUGGCGAAGGCGGCCAACUGGACAGAUACUGACGCUGAGACACGAAAGCGUGGGUAGCAAACAGG